rnacentral:rRNA from 1 species
GACGAACGCUGGCGGCGUGCUUAACACAUGCAAGUCGAACGGAAAGGCCCUGCUUUUGUGGGGUGCUCGAGUGGCGAACGGGUGAGUAACACGUGAGUAACCUGCCCUGACUUUGGGAUAACUUCAGGAAACUGGGGCUAAUACCGGAUAGGAGCUCCUGCUGCCUGGUGGGGGUUGGAAAGUUUCGGCGGUUGGGGAUGGACUCGCGGCUUAUCAGCUUGUUGGUGGGGUAGUGGCUUACCAAGGCUUUGACGGGUAGCCGGCCUGAGAGGGUGACCGGCCACAUUGGGACUGAGAUACGGCCCAGACUCCUACGGGAGGCAGCAGUGGGGAAUAUUGCACAAUGGGCGGAAGCCUGAUGCAGCAACGCCGCGUGCGGGAUGACGGCCUUCGGGUUGUAAACCGCUUUCGCCUGUGACGAAGCGUGAGUGACGGUAAUGGGUAAAGAAGCACCGGCUAACUACGUG